AGUGAACGCUGGCGGUAGGCCUAACACAUGCAAGUCGAACGGCAGCACAGUAAGAGCUUGCUCUUACGGGUGGCGAGUGGCGGACGGGUGAGGAAUACAUCGGAAUCUACUUUUUCGUGGGGGAUAACGUAGGGAAACUUACGCUAAUACCGCAUACGACCUACGGGUGAAAGCAGGGGAUCUUCGGACCUUGCGCGAUUGAAUGAGCCGAUGUCGGAUUAGCUAGUUGGCGGGGUAAAGGCCCACCAAGGCGACGAUCCGUAGCUGGCCUGAGAGGAUGAUCAGCCACACUGGAACUGAGACACGGUCCAGACUCCUACGGGAGGCAGCAGUGGGGAAUAUUGGACAAUGGGCGCAAGCCUGAUCCAGCCAUACCGCGUGGGUGAAGAAGGCCUUCGGGUUGUAAAGCCCUUUUGUUGGGAAAGAAAAGCAGCAGGUUAAUACCCCGCUGUUCUGACGGUACCCAAAGAAUAAGCACCGGCUAACCUCGU
rnacentral:rRNA from 1 species